ACAAAGUAAAUAGUUAUUGGGGGAUCAAUAAAAAUAAAAUUUCUCAAGAGCAAUUUUUAAAGGGGACACAAAUUAUACAGCCAAAAUUGUACUGU